rnacentral:rRNA from 1 species
AUGCAAGAUUCUAUUGUGGCAACAGGCUUUGAUGUGUCAUCAGCAGCUCUAUUGCAAGUCUCUAGCGUCGACUUACCCCAGUUCCUUCGGUUCAGAUGUCGUUUCCUAAUUGCUAGAGCUGCAAGGAACAUCGCUGGUCUCUUCAAUGGCAAUCAGUACUCAUUGGUGUUGUCACACAUUCAAUCAGAGGUGCGGCCUUCUUCUGACAUCAAUGAUGUUGCCAACAACGUCUAUCAGCACAAUUCGGCCACCGGUCCUACCAUUCUGCAAACUUGGAUCUCUAGCAAAAACUAA